ACUGAGAAACAGUAUUUUAACACUAACGGCGUGAUCUUAUCAACUUGUAAACCCUAAUCAGACUUUCCUCUUCACUUCUUCUACACCACAUUGACACCUUCCUGAACCAACCUCCAUCUCCAUCUCCAUCACCACAUCGACCACCGCCCUCCAUCAUCGUCCUCAACCCCAAACGCCGUCGCACCCCGCCACCCACUCCGUCGCACACAUCCGCCUCCAUCUCCAUCACCACUUCCCCGUCGCUGGUUCCGACCACCACGGCCUCACCCGUCUUCUCCAACCACACCGGAACCACCACGCACCACCGUUCGCCCUCACCUUCGCCUCCGGUCUCCGACAUCAGUUCCAAAUAAUUUACACAACCACAAAUUCACUCAGUUUAACGAAGCUUCCAAUUCGUGAUUUUGCUUUACUGAUUCCGUUUUAUUCAGGUUAUGUGUUAGAUUUGGAUAUCUGACCUGGCCACACGCAUACUUCAAGGAACUCUUUAAUCGGUUACGACUUUCAUGGAUUUAGGAUUUGUGUGUGUUUUGAAUUGAUUCGACGGUCAUUUGGGUGUAUGUUCUAUAUGAAUUUCCGCUUAUGCUGUGGGUUUUGGACGUAAGAGCUUGAUCAGGAUCUAUAUUGUUUGCGUUUU